CCUACGGGCGGCUGCAGUCGAGAAUCAUUCACAAUGGGGGAAACCCUGAUGGUGCGACGCCGCGUGGGGGAAUGAAGGUCUUCGGAUUGUAAACCCCUGUCAUGUGGGAGCAAAUUAAAAAGAUAGUACCACAAGAGGAAGAGACGGCUAACUCUGUGCCAGCAGCCGCGGUAAUACAGAGGUCUCACGCGUUGUUCGGAAUCACUGGGCGUAAAGCGUGCGUAGGCUGUUUCGUAAGUCGUGUGUGAAAGGCGCGGACUCAACCCGCGGACGGCACAUGAUACUGCGAGACUAGAGUAAUGGAGGGGGAACCGGAAUUCUCGGUGUAGCAGUGAAAUGCGUAGAUAUCGAGAGGAACACUCGUGGCGAAGGCGGGUUCCUGGACAUUAACUGACGCUGAGGCACGAAGGCCAGGGGAGCGAAAGGGAUUAGAUACCCGGGUAGUC
rnacentral:rRNA from 1 species